rnacentral:lncRNA from 1 species
CUAGAAUCAUCUACUGAACUGUAGACAAACGUGUCCAGCAUGUACCUCAGAGCUGAAGAAGUUGUGUUUAGUGCCAGAUUCAUGUAUGCCCCGAUGGAAACAGCUUAAGGAAGAAAAUCAGGUAGAUGAUAAAUCUGCAUCAGAGCAUUUGUGGUAACUAUGGAGACCUUGAUUCCUCCUUUGUGAUGGCGCCAACUUCUGUGACUUCAGCAAGGGGGAACACAAACUUUUGAAAUGAAACUGGAGAAGAUUAAGGUUCCAUUGACCACCAUCUCUAUCAUUCAGAAGCAAAGCCACAUCACCAGAGACAAAGCUGGACACCUACCUACACGAUGGCUAGGGUUCCCACCAGGCUCCCACCAGGUUCUUCAUCAUUUUAUCAAACAGCAGAAGAACCUCACCAAAGACCAGUCCAGUGAAGUUGCCUAUCUUAGACUGUCAACUUCUAGUACUGUGAGGAUCUUUCACUAUCAUAAUAGUGGAGAACAGAAAAGCACACCAUUGAUGCAUCGCAGCUAAGACCUUCAGGGAGAUCCUAACUGCUGUUCACAUGAGAGUGAAAUGAAACCACUGUGAGACAAGCAAGCCUUCAAGCAGUGUGAUUGUGUGCAGAUGCUUCUACAGCGGGAAGAACUGUGACAGCACGGUCAGAUCCAUGGUUCUUUCUCACGUCUCUGGCAAGAAGCUGGGAAUUCCCACAACAGCCUUUGUACCAUAAAAGCUUCAGAAGGGGCUCUACGAAUCCUAUCGUAUGCAUCAAACUUUUGUAAAAACCAUAGUUUCUUCAAGAAGUCAUUUUAGAUUUUUAAAGUCACAUUCUAAAACUCUGUCAAUACAUGAAGAGAUGGUGUGGUCUUAAAAUUCCACUUUACUAAGGAAGCUUUCAGAAUUUUCCUCAUCUGGAUGAUUUUACUCGUAAAUUGGGUUUUAUUUUGAAUACAUGCAGACAUAAUUCUGUACAAAUAGAGCUUUUCUGUUCAUUUUUUGUUGGAUUUUUUUUUAUAUUUCUUAUCUUCCUUCUACAUAUAUCAGCCAUAAGCCCCAGUCAACAGCCUAGUCGAUGUCCUUUCACAUAUUAUUAUGUCUGCAUAAUUAUGUUUAAUCCUGUACUUUACCUGUGCAUUGUUCAAUAUGGAAAACCUUUUUUAGGUGGUGCCCUACAGGAAGAGACUCUGAUUUCUUAGGGCCUUUGCAUCCUGCUUCUCUUUUGGUCCUUCAUAGAUAUUCUUCUAGGGCCUCUGGGGUGACUACCAUUUAUUCAUAAAUGACUGCAGAGUAUUCUCUGGGCUGCAGAUAUUGUGGGAUCUAGUCCUGCUCUAGCAUGGGAAAUGUUCCCUUCCCACGGGCCACUAGGGAGCACUGUCAGAGCAGUGUUGGCCUGGGUGAGCAGCAGCCAGCUUGGGCAAGACUCAGAGACACAUCUGUGACUACACGAACCUCUUCAUCCUCAGCUGAAGAUGCAGCGUUUGUCCCAACUUUUCUCCCAAGCCUUUCUCAAGAAGAGAACCCAGAACUCCCUGGCUUUCUCUAACCAGGUCUUUACCUGUCAUUUCAGCCAUGGGGAUGGGGGUUAAGACAGACUAAGGUUUCUUGUUUGGGUCCCCUACAGUUGUUGACAGACACAGAGAAAAUGACUGAUCAGAAAUGUUCUGAACUGCACAGCCAAUGAGAACAGUCCCUGUCACUGCUGCCACUUCAAUGCCACCGCUCAGGACAGAAAAUUCCAGAAAGCAGGCUAAGAGCUUGGCAUCCAUUACCUCAAUGGAUAGUCACAGAAAUCUCAGGAUAUAAGGACACUUUAUAUUCUAUUAUACAAAUGACAUGUGUGACGUAGAUAUGACAGGUUCACAUAUCAUCACAGACCUUAAGACAGAACAUGAAUUUUCUCCUUACACCUUAAGCAGGUCACUGUGUGACUAUUCCUGAAUCUCCAUGUCUUCUCUGAAAAAACAAAAAACAAAACACAACCCUCAAUCCAGGCCCUAGGUUUGCUCACAGUACGCACCUUGGCACAUGGCAGAUCUUCAGUGUAAGUUCAUAAACAAACAAAUGACUGGAAGAACUGUGAGGGGCCUCUGGAAGGAGCAGAGUCAAACUACAGUCCUAAUGACAUAAAAAUAUAUAAAGAAAAGCCAGCAGAUUUGAGUUGUUUCUUUCAGAGAGGAUUUCUGUGACAAAUUCAUUUACCAAACCAAUUUAGCAAAUAAAGGGGCCCUGGCUCUGCUCUACA